CUAGCAAUUUUUAAAAAGCGAAAAGGAUUUUCAGCACAUCAUUUAAUCAAUAAACAAACAAACGGUUAAAUUAUCUUCAACUACACGCCAUAUUAUAAUUUUUAGUAAUUUAAUUUUCACGUGACAGUACAAUGAAAGUAACGGUAACUUUGUUGAAGUGAGUCAGAUUGUUUGUCGAGUCAUUUCUGAGAACGACUCUUCAGACUGAUUCAAUCUGCUAACUACUGAUUCACGAGUCUUUUUGAAAGAUUUUGUAAGAGAACCGCAUCAGAGUCACUUGUUGGAAUCGGACUGCGUGAAAAAAAAGGCUUAUUUUCUUGUCAUUAUUUUGUGUCACGUGGUGUUUUUUCUAUCUCAUGUUGAUGUUGUUCAAUCCAGACUGCAAACUCUAUUGAAUCAAACAGACGUGGAACCAUACCAGAGCACGAUAUCUGGUCUCCAGAUGAUCUCGGAGGGGAUCCUGAUGGAGGUGACAUUCUCAUAGUCCUCUGGGUUCCAGCGCAGCUUGUAAUCGUUCCACUCCUGCAGGGAAACAUGUGCGCUCAUCACCGCUCACAACCAGCAGACGUUUGUGGUCAUCAUCUGAUUCUUCUCAUCCUGGUUUAUUAUGAAGCAAAAUAGGACAUCCAUGCAAAAGAGAGUAAUAAUAAGAGAGGAUGUUGUUGUGCUGGAGUGCAUCUGAGACUCACCACAUCAAUGAGCUGAGCAAUGGACAGGCCAAAGUGGACCAGAACCACAUCUGAGAUGUUUGCUACUGGACGAGAGAGCUUGUUGUAGUUGCUAAACAAAGAUUGGAGGAGUCUUUCUUCCGCAUGGGCACGAGCUGGAGUGCUGGAAAACACUGAUAAAAAAAGCGCUGGUUAAAUCUUCUCUACACCAUAACAAUUGGAUAAAAGCUGUUUCCAUUCCAAGCAAUCAUUUAACAUGCAAAACAUGCCGUUUAUUAUUAUUUUAGUAUUAUAACCAAAAUUAUAAUCAAUACUAAUUAUGUUAUUAUAUAUAUAGUAUUACUUUUAUAGUAUAUUAUUAUUAUUAUUAUAAGUUUUAUUUUUAUAGUUACAGUUUUUUGGGGUUUUUUUGUGGCAAAACAGCCCCUGAGCUGCUCACACCCCCUCAUUCACACUGCAUCAAUACAUAAACAGGAAAUCGAGUAUAACUGAAAAGUUAAACUGAAGGUCAGACUUUACCACAUGCCAGCUGCAGACAGACAGAAAGAAGAAAGAAGACACUCCACGCUGUUCUCAUCUUGUCC